rnacentral:rRNA from 1 species
AUUGAACGCUGGCGGCAGGCCUAACACAUGCAAGUCGAACGAGUGGCGGACGGGUGAGUAAUGUAUGGGAACCUGCCUGAUGGAGGGGGAUAACUACGCGAAACGGUAGAUAAAACCACAUAAGAUCCGAUGUGCCCGGGUUGGAUUAGAUAGUCGGUGGGGUAAAGGCUCACCUAGGCGACGCUCCGUAGCUGGUCUGAGAGGAUGACCAGCCAGACUGGUACUGAGACACGGUCCAGACUCCUACGGGAGGCAGCAGUGGGGAAUAUUGCACAAUGGGCGCAAGCCUGAUAGAGCCAUGCCGCGUGUAUGAAGAAGGCCUUCGGGUUGUAAAGUACUUUUGGCAGGGAUGCGGUACCCGAAGAAGAAGCACCGGCUAACUCCGUGCCAGCAGCCGCGGUAAUUC